CAUCACUACGCUAGAUGCAUAUCAAUAAGCGGAGGAAAAGAAACUAACAAGGAUUCCCCUAGUAACGGCGAGUGAAGCGGGAAGAGCUCAAAUUUGAAAUCUUAAAGGGUUUCCCUUUACGAAUUGUAGUUUAAAGAAGUGUUUUCUGUUGGAGUUUCGGUAAAAGUUCUUUGGAAUAGGACAUCAUAGAGGGUGAGAAUCCCGUAUUUGACCGUUACUCUCCAGCUGUGUGAUACACUUUCAAAGAGUCGGAUUGUUUGGGAAUGCAGUCCAAAAUGGGUGGUAAAUUUCAUCUAAAGCUAAAUAUUGGCGAGAGACCGAUAGCGAACAAGUACCGUGAGGGAAAGAUGAAAAGAACUUUGAAAAGAGAGUUAAACAGUACGUGAAAUUGUCAAAAGGGAAGCGUUUGACACCAGUGUUGUUUAGUUGAAAAUCAAUUCAAUAAUUUUUGAUUUUGAGUAGUAUUGACUUCAUCAGCUUGCUGCUUUCUUUUCCGAAAUUAUUGAAUGCACUUUUCAGUUAACAAGUCAACAUCAAUUUCUUUUGUUGUAAAAGGGUAAGAGGAAGGUGGCUUACGCUUCGGCGUAAGUGUUUAUAGCCUUUUACCUCUGCAAUCGGAGAGAUUGAGGACAGCAGCGUAGACUCCUUCGGGGGUUAGAUACACUUGUGCUAAGCUAUAGCCUUGUAUAGACAACUUGUUGACUAUGCUCAGUCAUGUAGCUUACUCGCUUAUGCUAUUUUACCUACGCUUAGGAUGUUGACACACGCGCGUGCUCG
rnacentral:rRNA from 1 species